rnacentral:rRNA from 1 species
UACAGAGGGGGCAAGCGUUGUUCGGAAUUACUGGGCGUAAAGCGUGCGUAGGUGGUGAGUUAAGUCUGUCGUGAAAGCCCCGGGCUCAACCUGGGAAUGGCGAUGGAUACUGGCUCGCUAGAGUGCGGUAGAGGAGAGUGGAAUUCCCGGUGUAGCGGUGAAAUGCGUAGAUAUCCGGAGGAAGACCGGUGGCGAAGGCGGUCUGCUGGGCAGUUUCUGACACUGAUGCGCGACAGCGUGGGGAGCAAACAGG